rnacentral:lncRNA from 1 species
GAAGCAGGCGCCCUGGCCUUCUGUCGGUUAUUUUUGGGCGCGGCAUUUCCCGCGGCCUAUUUAUGGCACACGGAGGCCCUUCGCAAAGGCUCGCGGCAUUCCAAGUCCGAGUCCGGCGGACGAAGUUGGCCAGCCCCACCCCCCAAGGCUAUAGCCCACCCGUGUUUGUGGCCUUUUUCCGCUGGACGAACUCGGUGCCCCGGCCUUCGGGUGGUUAUUUUUGGGCGCGGCUUUGCCCGCGGCUUAUUUUUGGCACACGGAGUCCCCUCGCAAAGUCUUGCGGCAUUCCCAGUCUGGCGGACGAAGUGGGCCAGCCCCACCCCCUAAGGCUAUAGCCCACCCGUUUUUGUGGCCUUUUUCCGCUGGACGAACUGGGCGCCCCGGCCUUCGGGCGGUUAUUUUUGGGCGCGGCUUUUCCCGCGGCCUAGUUUUGGCACACGGAGGCCCCUCGCAACGUCUCGCGGCAUUCCAUGUCCGAGUCCGGCGGACGAAGUUGGCCAGCCCAACCCCCCAAGGCUAUAGCCCACCCGUGUUUGUGGCCUUUUUCCGCUGGACGAACUCGUCGCCCCGGCCUUCGGGUGGUUAUUUUUGGGUGCGGCUUUUCCCGCGGCCUAUUUUUGGCACACGGAGGCCAUUCGCAAAGGCUCGCGGCAUUCCGAGUCCGGCGGACGAAGUUGGCCAGCCCCACCGCCCAAGGCUAUAGCCCACCCGUUUUUGUGGCCUUUUUCCGCUGGACGAAGCAGGCGCCCUGGCCUUCGGACGGUUAUUUUUGGGCGCGGCUUUUCCCGCGGCCUAUUUUUUGCACACGGAGGCCCCUCGCAAAGUCUCGCGGCAUUCCGAGUCCGGCGGACGAAGUUGGCCAGCCCCACCCCCCAAGGCUAUAGCCCACCCGUUUUUGUGGCCUUUUUCCGCUGGAAGAAACUUGGCGCCCCGGCCUUCGGGCAGUUAUUUUUGGGCGCGGCUUUGCCCGCGGCCUAGUUUUGGUACACGGAGGCCCCUCGCAACGUCUCGCGGCAUUCCAAGUCCGAGUCCGGCGGACGAAGUUGGCCAGCCCCACCCCCCAAGGCUAUAGCCCACCCGUGUUUGUGGCCUUUUUCCGCUGGACGAACUCGUCGCCCCGGCCUUCGGGCGGUUUUUUUUGGGCGCGGCUUUGUCCGCGGCUUAUUUUUGGCACACGGAGGCCCCUCACAAAGUCUUGCGGCAUUCCGAGUCCGGCGGACGAAGUGGGCCAGCCCCACCCCCCAAGGCUAUAGCCCACCCGUUUUUGUGGCCUUUUUCCGCUGGACGAACUUGGCGCCCCGGCAAUCGGGCGGUUAUUUUUGGGUACGGCUUUGCCCGCGGCCUAUUUUUGGCACACGGAGGCCCCUCCCAAAGUCUCGCGGCAUUCCGAGUCCGGCGGACGAAUUUGGCCAGCCCCACCCCCCAAGGCUAUAGCCCACCCGUUUUUGUGGCCUUUUUCCGCUGGACGAACUCGGCGCCCCGGCCUUCGGGCGGUUAUUUUUGGGCGCGGCUUUGCCCGCGGCCUAUUUUUGGCACACGGAGGCCCCUCGCAAAGUCUCGCGGCAAUCCAAGUCCGGCGGACGAAGUUGGCCAGCCCCACCACCCAAGGCUAUACCCCACCCGUUUUUGUGNNNNNNNNNNNNNNNNNNNNNNNNNNNNNNNNNNNNNNNNNNNNNNNNNNNNNNNNNNNNNNNNNNNNNNNNNNNNNNNNNNNNNNNNNNNNNNNNNNNNUUUUUGGCACACGGAGGCCCCUCGCAAAGUCUCGCGGCAAUCCGAGUCCGGCGGAGGAAGUUGGCCAGCCCCACUCGACAAGAGUAUAGCCCCAAUGUUGUUUGUGGCCUUUUUCCGCUGGACGAACUUGGCGCCCUGGCCUUCGGUCGGUUAUUUUUGGGCGCGGCUUUGUCCGCGGCCUAGUUUUGGCACACGGAGGCCCCUCGCAAAGUCUCGCGGCAAUCCGAGUCCGGCGGACGAAGUUGGCCAGCCCCACCCCCCAAGGCUAUGCCCUCCCGUUUUUGUGGCCUUUUUCCGCUGGACGGACAUGGCGCCCCGGCCUUCGGGUGGUUUUUUUUGGGCGCAGCUUUGCCCGCGGCCUAUUUUUGGCACACGGAUGCCCCUCGCAAAGUCUCGUGGCAUUCCGAAUCCGGCGGACAAAGUUGGCCAGCCCCACCCCCCAAGGCUAUAGCCCACCCGUUUUUUUGGCCUUUCUCCGCUGGACGAACUUGGCGCCCCGGCCAUCGGGCGGUUAUUUUUAGUUGUGGCUUUGCCCGCGGCCUAUUUUUGGCACACGGAGGCCCCUCCCAAAGUCUCGCGGCAUUCCGAGUCCGGCGGACGAAGUUGGCCAGCCCCACCCCCCAAGCCUAUAGCCCACCCGUUUUUGUGGCUUUUUUCCGAUGGACGAACUUGGCGCCCUGGCGUUCGGUCGGUUAUUUUUGGGCGCGGCUUUGUCCGCGGCCUAGUUUUGGCACACGGAGGCCCCUCGCAAAGUCUCGCGGCAUUCCGAGUCCGGCGGACGUAGUUGGCCAGCCCCACCCCCCAAGCCUAUAGCCCACCCGUUUUUGUGGCUUUUUUCCGAUGGACGAACUAGGCGCCUCGGCCUUCGGGCGGUUAUUUUUGGGCGCGGUUUGCCCGCGGCCUAGUUUUGGCACACGGAGGCCCCUCGCAAAGUCUCGCGGCAUUCCGAGUCCGGCGGACGUAGUUGGCCAGCCCCACCCCCCAAGGCUAUAGCCCACCCGUUUUUGUGGCCUUUUUCCGCUGGACGAACUUGGCGCCCCGGCCUUCGGGCAGUUAUUUUUGGGCGCGGCUUCUCCCGCGGCCUAUUUUUGGCACAAGGAGGCCCCUCCCAAAGUCUCGCGG